UAAUUGAAGAGUUUGAUCAUGGCUCAGAUUGAACGCUGGCGGCAGGCCUAACACAUGCAAGUCGAGCGGCAGCGGGAGGAAGCUUGCUUCCUCGCCGGCGAGCGGCGGACGGGUGAGUAAUGUCUGGGGAUCUGCCCGAUGGAGGGGGAUAACCACUGGAAACGGUGGCUAAUACCGCAUAACGUCGCAAGACCAAAGUGGGGGACCUUCGGGCCUCACACCAUCGGAUGAACCCAGAUGGGAUUAGCUAGUAGGUGGGGUAAUGGCUCACCUAGGCGACGAUCCCUAGCUGGUCUGAGAGGAUGACCAGCCACACUGGAACUGAGACACGGUCCAGACUCCUACGGGAGGCAGCAGUGGGGAAUAUUGCACAAUGGGCGCAAGCCUGAUGCAGCCAUGCCGCGUGUGUGAAGAAGGCCUUCGGGUUGUAAAGCACUUUCAGCGAGGAGGAAGGUGGUGAGCUUAAUACGCUCAUCAAUUGACGUUACUCGCAGAAGAAGCACCGGCUAACUCCGUGCCAGCAGCCGCGGUAAUACGGAGGGUGCAAGCGUUAAUCGGAAUUACUGGGCGUAAAGCGCACGCAGGCGGUUUGUUAAGUCAGAUGUGAAAUCCCCGAGCUUAACUUGGGAACUGCAUUUGAAACUGGCAAGCUAGAGUCUCGUAGAGGGGGGUAGAAUUCCAGGUGUAGCGGUGAAAUGCGUAGAGAUCUGGAGGAAUACCGGUGGCGAAGGCGGCCCCCUGGACGAAGACUGACGCUCAGGUGCGAAAGCGUGGGGAGCAAACAGGAUUAGAUACCCUGGUAGUCCACGCCGUAAACGAUGUCGAUUUGGAGGUUGUGCCCUUGAGGCGUGGCUUCCGGAGCUAACGCGUUAAAUCGACCGCCUGGGGAGUACGGCCGCAAGGUUAAAACUCAAAUGAAUUGACGGGGGCCCGCACAAGCGGUGGAGCAUGUGGUUUAAUUCGAUGCAACGCGAAGAACCUUACCUACUCUUGACAUCCAGAGAACUUAGCAGAGAUGCUUUGGUGCCUUCGGGAACUCUGAGACAGGUGCUGCAUGGCUGUCGUCAGCUCGUGUUGUGAAAUGUUGGGUUAAGUCCCGCAACGAGCGCAACCCUUAUCCUUUGUUGCCAGCGGUUAGGCCGGGAACUCAAAGGAGACUGCCAGUGAUAAACUGGAGGAAGGUGGGGAUGACGUCAAGUCAUCAUGGCCCUUACGAGUAGGGCUACACACGUGCUACAAUGGCGUAUACAAAGAGAAGCGAACCUGCGAAGGCAAGCGGACCUCAUAAAGUACGUCGUAGUCCGGAUUGGAGUCUGCAACUCGACUCCAUGAAGUCGGAAUCGCUAGUAAUCGUAGAUCAGAAUGCUACGGUGAAUACGUUCCCGGGCCUUGUACACACCGCCCGUCACACCAUGGGAGUGGGUUGCAAAAGAAGUAGGUAGCUUAACCUUCGGGAGGGCGCUUACCACUUUGUGAUUCAUGACUGGGGUGAAGUCGUAACAAGGUAACCGUAGGGGAACCUGCGGUUGGAUCACCUCCUUA
rnacentral:rRNA from 1 species